UGCCUGGAGUGAUGGUUGGCGACAUA
rnacentral:piRNA from 1 species